AUCUAUGGCCAUGCCACCCUGAACAAGCCCAAUCCCGUCUGAUCUCAGAAGCUAAGCAGGGUCGGGCCUGGUUAGUACUUGGAUGGGAGACCAUCUAGGAAUACCAGGUGCUGUAAGCA
rnacentral:rRNA from 1 species